rfam:Herbaspirillum sp. TSA66 contig01, whole genome shotgun sequence.
CCGAAUGUACGACCAUUUGUCACCUACUCAGGCCUGCGUUGCUGGUAACGGCGGGGUGGGAAGCCCUGAGGACAAUGUACCCCCACUUUGAUGGUGUCGAUUUCUUGCGAAAGGAUCGGCAGAGAUCGUUAGCAGCAAACGAUCAAGGGG